rnacentral:rRNA from 1 species
GCCCAGUGAUAUAUUAAUUCAACGGCCGCGGUACCCUGACCGUGCAAAGGUAGCAUAAUCAUUUGCCCUAUAAUUGAGGGCUAGUAUGAAUGGUUUGACAAGAGUAAUACUGUCUCUAUAAAAAUUUCCUGAAUUUAUUUUUUGGGUGAAGAAUCCUAAAUAAAAUUAAAAGACAAGAAGACCCUAUCGAGCUUAAAAUAUAUUUAUAAAGUAAGAAAAAUUAUAAAAUAUUUUUAGUUAUAAAAAAUUUUGGUUGGGGCGACUAAGGAACAAAUAAAGCUUCUUAUAUUUUUAAAAAUUUAUAAAUAAUGAUCCAUUAUUUAAUGAUUAAAAGAAUUAGUUACCGUAGGGAUAACAGCAUAAUCCAUUUUGAGAGUUCAUAUCGAAAAAUGGGUUUGUGACCUCGAUGUUGGACUAGAAUAUCCUACAAGAUGCAGAAGUCUUUAAAGGUUGGUCUGUUCGA